AUAGUGGUCCCUUAAGGACCAAGCUUCUGGAAUAAAAGGGAAUCAUGACAUGUUACACAUGUCAUGUGUCCUUAAGGGGUAGCUUUUUGAACCACCUUUGCCAGCAUAACUUGAAGUAAUUGUUUUCUAUAUAACUUCAUCAGUCUCUCACAUUGUUGUGGAGGAACAUUGUUUCAGUUCAUUGAGGUCUGCUGGCAUUUGUUCAUUCACCGCUCUCUUAACCCCUUAAGG